ACACAGCCAGUGUCCAGGGGAGAUCUCCUGUGUAGCCAGCACCCCCCCCUGGUUGUGUACGUGCUCCGUACCCCGUACCGAGCGCCCUAAGGGACCGCGGGGACAUGG